ACGCUGGCGGCAGGCUUAACACAUGCAAGUCGAACGAUAUAGUGGCAGACGGGUGAGUAACGCGUGGGAACGUACCUUUCACUACGGAAUAGCUCUUGGAAACGAGUGGUAAUACCGUAUACGCCCUUCGGGGGAAAGAUUUAUCGGUGAAAGAUCGGCCCGCGUUAGAUUAGCUAGUUGGUAGGGUAAUGGCCUACCAAGGCGACGAUCUAUAGCUGGUCUGAGAGGAUGAUCAGCCACACUGGGACUGAGACACGGCCCAGACUCCUACGGGAGGCAGCAGUGGGGAAUCUUGCACAAUGGGCGAAAGCCUGAUGCAGCCAUGCCGCGUGAAUGAUGAAGGCCUUAGGGUUGUAAAAUUCUUUCGCUAGGGAUGAUAAUGACAGUACCUAGUAAAGAAGCCCCGGCUAACUUCGUGCCAGCAGCCGCGGUAAUACGAAGGGGGCUAGCGUUGUUCGGAAUUACUGGGCGUAAAGCGCACGUAGGCGGACUUUUAAGUCAGAUGUGAAAUCCCGGGGCUCAACCUCGGAACUGCAUUUGAAACUGGAAGUCUAGAGACCAGGAGAGGUUAGCGGAAUACCGAGUGUAGAGGUGAAAUUCGUAGAUAUUCGGUGGAACACCAGUGGCGAAGGCGGCUAACUGGACUGGUACUGACGCUGAGGUGCGAAAGUGUGGGGAGCAAACAGGAUUAGAUACCCUGGUAGUCCACACCGUAAACGAUGAGAGCUAG
rnacentral:rRNA from 1 species